AGUCGAGCGGCAGCGCGGGGGCAACCCUGGCGGCGAGCGGCGAACGGGUGAGUAAUGCUUUGGAAUCUGCCCAGUAGUGGGGAAUAACCAGCCGAAAGGUUGGCUAAUACCGCAUACGACCUUUGGGUGAAAGCGGGGGAUCGCAAGACCUCGCGCUAUUGGAUGAGCCAAAGUCGGAUUAGCUAGUUGGUGAGGUAACGGCUCACCAAGGCGACAAUCCGUAGCUGGUCUGAGAGGACGACCAGCCACACUGGGACUGAGACACGGCCCAGACUCCUACGGGAGGCAGCAGUGGGGAAUAUUGGACAAUGGGGGAAACCCUGAUCCAGCGACGCCGCGUGUGUGAAGAAGGCCUGCGGGUUGUAAAGCACUUUUAGUGGGGAUGAAAAGCUCAGGGCUAAUACCCUUGGGUCUUGACCUAACCCAAAGAAAAAGCACCGGCUAACUCUGUGCCAGCAGCCGCGGUAAUACAGAGGGUGCGAGCGUUAAUCGGAAUUACUGGGCGUAAAGCGUGCGUAGACGGUUAUUUAAGUCGGAUGUGAAAUCCCCGGGCUCAACCUGGGAAUUGCAUUCGAUACUGGAUAGCUAGGGUGCGGAAGAGGGAAGCGGA
rnacentral:rRNA from 1 species